rnacentral:lncRNA from 1 species
AGAAAUGCUAGAUCUAAGGACGACCCAGGAAGUAAGGCUGAGAAAAUUUAGUGGUUUAAUAUGUCUGUGAGUUAACCUAAUGUGCUAUCACUGAAAGAGAUCUAUGAGGAAGAGGGAGGUAGAAAAAGAACAAGGAGACUACAGUGUCAUAGAAGUCAACAGAGGAGACAAUUUUAAAUAGCAGUGGAGGUCAACAGUAUGAAAUGUUAUGGAAAGGUCAAGUAAGUUAGGGACAGAAAUAUGUUUAUUUAGGUCUGAUAUUUGUAAGGCUUUAGACAUUUUGGUAAAAGCAGUGUAAGCAGUUUUAAUGAAUGGUAGAGGUUACCCCAAAACAGGGAAAUAAAUCUCAGAAAAGGCACAGAACUAAUCCUCCAUCCCUCAGAAUCUACUUGGGUGGGGAUGGACAUUCCUAACCACCAUAUGGGCGCAUGACCCAGAACUGGUCAAUCAGAGGAUUCCAUUCCUUUGGCUACAGCAAAGAUUCAAUGAUGAGCCCAUAACCCAAACCAGACCAUGGAGACACAAUCCUUUGAUACACACCUGGAGAUGCUGGAGACCACCAUAUGCAGAACACCUGCCUGGAAAUAAGGCUAACACAGAGGAAAGCAGAACUGAGAGAUGGAGAGGAGAGAAGAGAAGAGAAGAGGAGACUAGGUUCUAAUGACAUCAUUCAAACACCUGAAGCCAGCCAUACUCACAUACUUUUCAGUAAAAUGAACCAAUUGAUCCUCUUUAUUUUUACUUAAUCCAUAUGAAAUGGUUUUCUGCUUCUUCUAACCUAAAGAGCCCUGUUUGAUACAGCAGGUAAAGUGGUGUUGGAAGCAAACGAGUUCCAGCGCAGCCUUGCCUAGGGCCCGUUCUGAUCACAGAUUGCCAAGUUUGCCUCAUCCCCCACUCCCAUUCAGUCAACUAGCAGUUUUGAGUCCUUAUCAUCCAACUCCCUCAGGGGACUGAUUCAUUAAGAAGUUGUAAGGAACCUCAGAG